rnacentral:lncRNA from 1 species
AAACGACAGCGAUGCGCCCGAAGUUAAAUCUUAGAUAUUACUCGAUAAACGGAACUUACAGAAUCGGCCGGAGAUCGUGUCGAUGCAGUCUUGCCAACCCGUACGAACUCGUAAAAGAAAAAGAUGUACUCGUGAAGUCGCCGACUACAAAGUAAAGUACGAUGAAAAAGUAGAUUAUUUGUAUUGAUUGAUGUGUUGUUUUACAAAUCUCUAAAGAUGGCUAUUUAUAGCCUGUUACAACUGAUUUCCUAACCGACUAGGAUGUAUCUCUAAUUUUAAACGAUAACAAAUAUUUACAAACACAACUCGUAUCGGAGUUGGUUAUCAUACUCCCAUGGGCCAAUCUCUUUCUAUCUUCUUUUCUAGCCCACCUUAAGCCCAUAUUGGCCCAGCUGCCCUAACCUUCCAAUCGGCCGAUCUUCAUCAACUCCGUUCGCCAAUCUGUAACGUCAAUCGACCGAUUCCCAACUGUAGCUUCUAAUCCGCCGCAUCGGCCAAUCUUUUCCUUCCCUGACGCCGAUUCAAAACACGUGUCAAAAUCUGGCGUCAACACAUGCCCCCAGUUUUGGAGUAAAACAUAACUUUUACUUCGAAAUUCUUUUUUAACUUUCUCUCCGAAACAAACGUGGCAAAAACCCCCUUCUGUUUCGCUGCCUUCUACCUAAUGAUUGCAAUCUUUUCGAACUGGGCGCCUGAGACAACUGCUCCUCUGAAAUUUGUGUAGACGGCGCGGUAAAAAUCUCGCCUUUACCCCUUCUCUCGGACCGUCUUUAAAUACCAGCAUUCUCCACCGCCUCUUCUCCACGAGCUCAGUAACUCUCCUUUCCCCGGCGAAUCAUCUUCCAUCACAUCCCAGCACCCCUUUGCCUCCCAGUCGCAUCUCUCCGGCGAUCUUUCUAUCGUCUUCAUCCCGCUUCACUUUCUUCAAUGGCGGCUCCAUCAGCGACUCCAUCGG